GGGCGGUCGGGCGGGCGGGCGGGCGGCAAUCAAAUGUUGUCCGUGCAUUAACUCAUGAACCGUUCAACCAAAGCUUUUAAAAUUUUAAUAUGUUAUUACUGACAACUAUACGAAGGUCAAGUUCAAUAAUGGCGAUUUUGACUUUUACCGUUCAGGAGUUAUGGUUCUUGAAAGGCGGCAAUCAAAUGUUGUCCGUGCAUUAACUCAUGAACCGUUCAACCAAAGCUUUUAAAAUUUUAAUAUGUUAUUACUGACAACUAUAUGGAGGUCAAGUUCAAUAAUGACGA
rnacentral:lncRNA from 1 species